rnacentral:lncRNA from 1 species
AAAAUAUUUUGGAAUAACGUUAAGUGACGCUAAAUCAUGCCACGAAAGUGAUCUUGUAAAUCUGGAGUGAUGAAUGCCGUAAUUAAUUUCAUUUUCUUUCUUCCAUAUUUCAGGGAUAUUUUCACUUGCACCUGUAUUCGGGAGUGCUCUCAUAUAUUGUAAGACGGGGAGUGGAGUGCUUAAUGGAUGAUGUACUAUUAACAAUGCUUGAGGCUGUUUCUACAGGGCUAGAAUUUCUCGUUGUCCUUGAGUGAGAUUUGGAUUCUGAAUCAUAAUUCUGAUCAUCUACAAAAAACAAAAAAACAUGACUUGUUCUCACACAUUUUGUUACAUGUGCUGUUUCGGAAUCUACACUCGGAGCGGUGGUGGUUGUCUCUUCUGCAACUGAAACAUCUACCAUGCUGACAAGGCAUUAAUAUUAAUGUAAACCAAUGUAUCUUGGAGAACGUCUGCAGACUCCCAUGCAGUGGCUACAUUUACAAGUCAUAGCUAAUGAGUUCUCAUACUAUCGGGAGGAGCACAAGCUCCAAUCACGCAACAUGUUGUGGU